rnacentral:misc_RNA from 1 species
GAUGAAGAACGCAGCGAAAUGCGAUAAGUAAUGUGAAUUGCAGAAUUCAGUGAAUCAUCGAAUCUUUGAACGCACAUUGCGCCCGCCAGUAUUCUGGCGGGCAUGCCUGUUCGAGCGUCAUUACAACCCUCAGGCCCCCGGGCCUGGCGUUGGGGAUCGGCGGAAGCCCCCUGCGGGCACAACGCCGUCCCCCAAAUACAGUGGCGGUCCCGCCGCAGCUUCCAUUGCGUAGUAGCUAACACCUCGCAACUGGAGAGCGGCGCGGCCACGCCGUAAAACACCCAACUUCUGAAUGUUGACCUCGAAUCAGGUAGGAAUACCCGCUGAACUUAAGCAUAUCAAUAAGCGGAGA